AACGAACGCUGGCGGCAUGCCUAACACAUGCAAGUCGAACGAGACCUUCGGGUCUAGUGGCGCACGGGUGCGUAACGCGUGGGAACCUGCCCUUAGGUUCGGAAUAACUCCCCGAAAGGGGUGCUAAUACCGGAUAAUGUCUUCGGACCAAAGAUUUAUCGCCUUUGGAUGGGCCCGCGUUGGAUUAGCUAGUUGGUAGGGUAAAAGCCUACCAAGGCGACGAUCCAUAGCUGGUCUGAGAGGAUGAUCAGCCACACUGGGACUGAGACACGGCCCAGACUCCUACGGGAGGCAGCAGUGGGGAAUAUUGGACAAUGGGCGAAAGCCUGAUCCAGCAAUGCCGCGUGAGUGAUGAAGGACUUAGGGUUGUAAAGCUCUUUUACCCGGGAUGAUAGUGACAGUACCGGGAGAAUAAGCUCCGGCUAACUCCGUG
rnacentral:rRNA from 1 species